CACACGACGUCAUUUCAACGUUGAUAUUUGGGCUAAAUCCCGUCGGUCCGUCAUGGCCCUGAUUUCAACCAAAAUUAGACGUAGAAUAAUGGUCUUGUUUUGGCCGGCCCAUUUUGGUCUAAGGAAAGACGUCUUUAGCACGUCCUUUUUCAGACCACAUAUCAACUAAUUAAAUCCUGAUGUAAAUUAUCAGUUAUAGUCUACCUAGGACUACAUUAUCGUUCCUGUCGACCAUCUUUCCCCCCUGGGGAUUGCCCAAAUCCGCCGCGAACUCUACGGGCGCCCGGCGCCGCCAUCUUGGCUGCCGUUAACUGCGUGUGUGACUUUUGUUUGUUUACUCAUGGCAACAGUUGAUAUGGACGGACAACUCUGUUUUUAGCCUUCUCCCCUCUGAAAAAAAAAUCAGAGGAAAAAUUCAGAUGGAAAAAAAUCAGUCAUUGAAAUAAUGAGUAAUUAAAAUUCUGAUAAAAAAAAAAAAUCACAUAAAUGUUCACGUAAAGGAGACAGGAGUGAACUCUGCGCAUGUACAAGAGGAACGGAGGCGGGAAGCCGUAGCCGAGCCCAUUUCGAACUUUGUUUGAAACACACAGUCAGUUGAAGCCGUUGAAGAACAGCGUGAAGAUGGAACCUGCUACUGAGCACAUCAACUCUUAAGUGUGUCCCUGGAAGAUCUACCAUCAACUUCCAGAACUGCAACUGCUAGUACUGUCAGAUGGUGAAUGCUACUCAGGCAAACACCAUUGUUACACCACUUUGAAGGAGAGCCUGGUCAUUUGGUCCCCUCAGCUUCUCCCUUUCUCAGUGAUAUGUUCAUUGUGGCUGGGAUAAUUGUGGGGCACUCUUUCCUUCAUGGAGGACCCUGCUUGUCUGGACUCUGUGAUGUGGUUGUCCAUACUGCUUCGUGGGAGCCCAGACACGGCUACAGUAAACCUGGAGGACUGUGCAG